AGAGUUUGAUCCUGGCUCAGGAUGAACGCUGACAGAAUGCUUAACACAUGCAAGUCAACUUGAACUUCGGUUUGGGUGGCGGACGGGUGAGUAACGCGUAAAGAACUUGCCUCACAGUUAGGGACAACAUUUGGAAACGAAUGCUAAUACCUGAUAUUAUGAUUUUAGGGCAUCCUAGAAUUAUGAAAGCUAUAUGCGCUGUGAGAGAGCUUUGCGUCCCAUUAGCUAGUUGGAGAGGUAACGGCUCACCAAGGCGAUGAUGGGUAGCCGGCCUGAGAGGGUGAACGGCCACAAGGGGACUGAGACACGGCCCUUACUCCUACGGGAGGCAGCAGUGGGGAAUAUUGGACAAUGGACCAAGAGUCUGAUCCAGCAAUUCUGUGUGCACGAUGAAGUUUUUCGGAAUGUAAAGUGCUUUCAGUUGGGAAGAAAAAAAUGACGGUACCAACAGAAGAAGUGACGGCUAAAUACGUGCCAGCAGCCGCGGUAAUACGUAUGUCACAAGCGUUAUCCGGAUUUAUUGGGCGUAAAGCGCGUCUAGGUGGUUAUGUAAGUCUGAUGUGAAAAUGCAGGGCUCAACUCUGUAUUGCGUUGGAAACUGUGUAACUAGAGUACUGGAGAGGUAAGCGGAACUACAAGUGUAGAGGUGAAAUUCGUAGAUAUUUGUAGGAAUGCCGAUGGGGAAGCCAGCUUACUGGACAGAUACUGACGCUAAAGCGCGAAAGCGUGGGUAGCAAACAGGAUUAGAUACCCUGGUAGUCCACGCCGUAAACGAUGAUUACUAGGUGUUGGGGGUCGAACCUCAGCGCCCAAGCAAACGCGAUAAGUAAUCCGCCUGGGGAGUACGUACGCAAGUAUGAAACUCAAAGGAAUUGACGGGGACCCGCACAAGCGGUGGAGCAUGUGGUUUA
rnacentral:rRNA from 1 species